rnacentral:rRNA from 1 species
UACGAAGGGGGGCUAGCGUUGUUCGGAAUUACUGGGCGUAAAGCGCGCGCAGGCGGUUCGAUAAGUUGGGGGGUGAAAUCCCCCGGGCUCAACCCGGGAAUGGCCUUCAAGACUGUCGAUCUAGAGGACGAGAGAGGUGAGUGGAAUUCCCAGUGUAGAGGUGAAAUUCGUAGAUAUUGGGAAGAACACCGGUGGCGAAGGCGGCGACCUGGUCCGAUACUGACGCUGAGGCGCGAAAGCGUGGGGAGCAAACAGG